rnacentral:lncRNA from 1 species
UUUGCUUUGGUUUAUUUUCUUUAAUUUAUUUACAGUAUUUUUUAAUAGCAAUUAGUUUCAUAAAAUAUAGGGACAAUACCUAAAUUGGUGUUACUAAUUAUACCAAUGUCACAAUUAGUUUGAGGUCCGAAUAACAUAGUUUAGUAUUUUUAUAAUUUAAAAAGCAUUUAAUAUUUUGUUUUAGCCAAUGUUAUAUUCACAAAAGGGCAUUUAAAUAUUUUACAAAUGUGUUGGGUCAACACCAUAAUUAGUUAUGGAGUAUUUGCCACAUUUGAACAUUUUAUUUUAGACAUUUGAAAACUUUUGAGUUUGACUCAAUUUUGAAUUUGAAAUUUGAACCGGUUUCGAACCAACGCGAGUUUAUCAAUAGUAACCGUGGUGACGUGGCCUCAUUAGAAGAGGGUUACUGCAGCUUAAUUAUCUGGGCGUCACAAUUCUCCUCCACUACAAGAAAUCUCGUCCCGAGAUUUAAGGGGUGGAGUAAGGGGAAAGGACUCGGGAAGGAUGGAGCUCAACACAAAAUAGGUACCUGGGGGCUAUCUCGCGAACGUGGUAUAAAGGCAUCUCCCGAGUUGAAAUUCAAGAAGUCAUCGAGAGCAAGGUAAGGAGGAGCAAUAAGAAGCUUCAAGCGAGUAGGCAACCAUACGUUACCUGAAAUAGAGGGUGAAAGGGGUUCAGAGCAAUGGGAAUAAGUAUCGCGUCUGAUAGCAGAAUAGAUCACUAGGAAGGUGGCUCGUGAUUUACAUACAAAGCCAAGUGCAAAGAAUAUUUUGGAGUCAAGGUUUUACACGAGAGUCAGGUUUCGAUCCUGUGGAACUGUGGGUUAUGGGCCCACCAUGUGGGUUAAAAGCAAGAAGGGUGCUAACAUUUUGUAUGGUCAUGAUAGCAAGGCAGGUUAGAGGACAACCUGUCAGUUAUGUUGGCAACAAUUUUGGUACCAAGGGCGAGGAACAAAGAGAACCAUUUUCCUACUCGUUAAGACGAGGCGGGUCAAUAGGCAAUGUUCUCGUCCAUCGGUGGCUACCGGAAUGUCAUCAACAAUAGUAACAAGGUCUUACUGACAGAGUUUGUACACUUAGGGGUAUACAUAAGCAGGGAUUUAUCACUACUCAAAUAUGUUAGGUUACAAGAAAGUUAAUCAGAACAGUGGAGAGAAAAGUGUAGACUCGAAUCAGUUAUCGGUGUUCUCGAGUGUCUAACAACUCAGAACCCAUGGAAAAUUUGAAUUGGCGAGAAAUAAUAGUUGAUGAAGAACUCAUAAGAAGUUAUGUAGUUCCGUGAUAUUCUCGAGAUACCAAAGGGUAAUACUCGAAGGUAGUUCAAAGUAGAGGUUGGACAAGGGAAACGAUCUAAAGAAGACAAGUACUUUAACUUGUCCGAGAAAUGGAAUCAAAGGAGAACAAUCACAGUCGGAACCACAGUUGCAAAGAACUAAAUAUAGAUACAAGAUAAAUUUAUCACAAGAGGAUUAUUAUUAUAAGAAAAAGCUUCCAUGAUAGGAUGUACAUCGUGUCCAUGGGCAUGAACACAAAGUUCAAGGUCGACUCCCACUUCUUCAAUGCAUAACCUUUCAUUCACUUCUCGCUUUCGGUGAAUUUGUAGUGUUGAUAUUUUAUCUGGCAACACAUCAGAAGAGUAAGACUCAUGAAGACUCUCGGGUUCAAAAAGAUUAGGGAGGCGUAGGUUCAACCCAUAGGGGCAUCUUAGGAACCUAUACCACAAACUUCAUGAGUAAAUAACUCAAGCCCAGAAGCGGAGUAUGGUUGACAAGAGCGAGGGAUACCAUUUACCAAAGGUUACUCAAUAUGAAGGACAUUGUCGGAUAAAAUCCACAAAGGAUCUGGUGGUCCACAAGGGAUCUGAUGUGAGUAUCGGUACUCACCCAGAAGAAGAUAGAAUGCAAGGAUAUCAGAUUAUAGAAACAACUAACUAAUUCAAAGCUUAACUGUAAAGGAAUUAUGAUUUCCAAGACGGUGGAUCAAAAGUAGAGGCUCUGAUCAAAGAUGAAUAAGUUGAAUAGACAUAGAUCGACAAUCAAACAAGGUUUGAUUUGUCGAACACCAGCUCAUGUCCAGAGUGACGUCUGAGCCAAGGGAAGAAUUCUAAUUAGGACUGAUGAUCGUUAGCAUUCACAAACUUAGCGAAUCAAAUGCUUGAAAUUACAAUGACAAAGGAUGCUAAUGAGUAUUGCUGGACAUAUGGAAGUAACCAUAAUGCAAGCAGAUAAGGAGGAACAAGAGUAAUAGGCCACUGAGCAUUUUCGGAAGAUCAAAUAGUUUUUUUGGGCAUCUUCUUAUAACAAGAGCAAUUGGGGAUGAAGGUAUGAACGGAAAUGUAGGAAUUUACCCAUAAGGAUUUAUCGGUGGUAGGGAUCGCAACGACAAAGGGCACAAGGGUCUCGAGAAAACAUCGGAGAGUAUCUUCAGAAUCUUCUGGUGAAGCGGGCCACUACAAGAAAUAUGUCAACUCGUGACCACCACUAUUGGUCACUGAAAGGUCAUGGUUUUUCAUUUGCGACCUUUUUGUGACCAAAAACAGAAGGUCAAAAGCUGAGGGUCGUAAACUGACUAUAGCGACCUUCUCUGUGAGAAGGUCGUAGACGUUUACGACCAAAAUAUACCUACUGUGGCGUUUUGGUCACUAGCAACCUCCCCAGGCCACGUAGGCAUCCAGCAUGGCAAGCUGAUGUGGCACAAGAUUCAGCCCAGUCCAAUUCGGUUUUCUACAUGGGCCGAGCCCAACAAUUCGGCCUAUUCGUGUUUUUUUCUCAUAUUAAUUUUGAUUAGGUAGAUGGGCCAAGCCCAACAUUUCAGCCUCGUUAUUUUUGGGCCUAGGCCUUUUUAUUUUCUUGGCCUUCACCUUUUCACAAUUGAUUUUUAAGCGAUUUUUGUUCAUUUUUUCUCAAUUGUUUGAUUUGUGGCCUUUUUAGGGCCCAAAUAGUAUUUGCUUCAUUUCUGAUGUAUCAGCAAUUAAGGAUCAGCACCUCAAAAAAACAAUAAAUGAUCAAUAUUUCCAAUAUUUCAACCACACAAAUUUUCACAAAUGACGUCCAAAACGAGUAUAUUAUAUAUAUUACAAUCAUGCGGUAGUCCACAUCGUCCAGGAAUUUAGAACACCCAGGAACAUCCAGGAAUAUCUAUGAAGUAAACAAACACCCAGGAACACCCAGGAACAUCUAUGAAGUAAACACCCAGGAACAUAAAACUAGCUACAAAGAUGAAGUGUUCCCUUCUUCGAACUUCUUCAACCCAGAGCUCCUGUAGAAGAGAGGAAAUUAUCAUUAUCAUGGCUGUCAAUGAAAGCAAUAUCUUCCAACAAAGAACAACUAGGAAAAGAAUAGUGAACAGAAUAAUAAACAGAUACACAAGCAUGAGGGCAUGGAUAACAGUAGAAACACUAACGUAAGCAGCAAAUUGAAUACCAAUCAUUAAUAUACUGUUGCUGAGGCAUUAGUAUAAUGAACAGAAAAAUAAAUAGAUCUUGAAGCAUUAGUAUACUGCUGCUGAGGCCAAAACCAAACAAAUGCAAUGGCAACACUAACGUAAGCAGGAAAGCAGCAAAGUAGAUGUGCCCACUAUCCGUCUAAGCAAACACAGAAGUGCAAUGCUAGAGAUACAUGUAUGCACCAAGAAAAACUGGCAAUGUGAACAAUAACUCUGGGAGUAAAAAGAACAUAAAUAAUACAACAAUCUCUAAACACCUAGGUAGUAACUAGAAUGGUUGCUUGAUGUUCAUAGUAACUAGAAUAGUUACAAACACGGGACAGUGUGCAUGCAUGAGCAGGUGCAGGACCGAAUGAACCAUGGCAGCAGCAGCAGUGAUUAUGGGUGUUGAAGGGAAGGCAGAGUGGGCAGCAGCAGUGAUUACCAGGAAGUUGUGGUAGACGAACGCCCUGGGCUCCCACGAGAUGACCUCCAUCCACUAUGCACCGCGCUUGCCCAGCCCCUCGUUGCACCCACCCACGAGAAUAUGGUAUGCAAGAUGCCUGCAACACAUUCAUACAUGACAAUCAUUAGGAACACAGUAAAGAGAACUACACUAAAAAGAAAAGCAGACACGUUUGUUAUAACUGGUCCGUUCGAAGACUAAUGGUAGAAAGGAAUGCAAGCAAUUGCUUCAGUUUUUCUUUUCGCACAAGUGCAAAUGUCAACAUGAAACAAGGAGCUCAAGGAAUCAAUCCCCAACACAUCAGUACAACAGUUGCAACUAAUCAGACCACAUCAUAAAUAACGGGCCACGAUAUACUAGUAAAUUGAACUACUACUGCUACUGCUCAGUACAUCAGUAUCAAAGAGUGGAUUUCGGCUACCAUAUAUACAUGUACUAAUAAACUACUGUACUAGUAAAAGAGGGAACACAAAAGGCAAAAAUUGGAAUAGCAGAGAAGAAGCAUGGAAGAGGGACAAUUAAUCUCUUGGCUAACCGCUAACAGCUAAAAUCCUCUGGGCUAUGAACUUCAACCAGGACAGUUAAUCUCUUGGCUAACUGCUAACAACAAAGAAGUGCCCAUACAGCCAAUUUACUUCCCUAUAAUGAUUAUAAGAACUAGAAAUAAAAGAUAUAUCAUAGUACUGAACAGUUGAGCAGUUGCAGAUCCAUCUAAUCAUGUGGAAAGUCAGUGAGCAGUUGCAGAUCCACCAUUGCCACCAUCUAGUCACGAGGAUUGGAGUCCUCCCCAGUCUUGACACUGAGCUUUUGCUUCCCUGUGACCUGCAGAUAGGUCACCAACAUAAACCAUUUGAAAUGAUUAAACAAGUGCACUGGAAGCAGUUUAGAUCAGCAUACAAACAUAACACUACAUCUCUGUUUCUAAACUGGAGAGCCAAGAGAAGAACUAUAACAGAUGUAGUUCUCUGCCUCAACAUGCUGUAAUAAUAUUAUCUCUGUUGAUCCAUGUCCAUCUGGGUUAAUAUGAAAUGUAAAAAAAUUGAAUGAGCCAAAUUGGUACAUCAUUACAAAUGAUUACUUGCUAAGAGAAACAAGUCAGAAAACAAAGCUGCAUAUAACCACCUAAAUAUUAUGGUCAAGUACUAAUUAUCAAACUGGCAUAUCCACUUGUCUGCUACUCCCUAUGUAAUCAAAUGCAAGACAUUUUAGGUCACUUCACAGAUUUAGUAGUUUGUAAGUAGAAGAAUAGAAAUUUGAAGAAAAAAAUGGUGGAGCCACACUGAGAUCACGGGACAUAACAGGUGUUCAAAUCAAUGGAAAGCAAAUGUAUUUUGGAGAUGGAACCAUCCCUCUCUCAGAAUAAUCAGAGCCCAAAAUUCCACAUGCUGAUCGAUUAAUAUGCCAAACAGGGGGAUCGGCUGAGGGGCUCACCGCGGUGCGGAUGAUGAGCUCGGGGAGGCCGGAGACGUCGGAGCAGCGAGGGCAACGCAGAUUGACGGGGGAAGGCGCGCGGCGGCUGACAGGGAAGAAGCUCGGAUCCGGCGAUGUGAGGGCACCCAGCUUGAACUGGUGGCCGUAGUCGAUGCAGAGGGGAGCUGCGGAGCUCGUGGACACCUUCCCAUGUCGCGGAUCCGGCGAUGUGGUGGGUGAGGAGGUGCGGAUUGACGAGAUCCACCCGUCAUCAUCACCCUUCUCGAGGUUCUUGACGCUUGGGUGAUGCGGAUGCGGUGCUGCGCCUCCUGCGGGUGACGCGGAUGCGGUGCUGCGCCUCCUGCGGGCCCUCGAAGCCGGCCUUUCCGGCCUUCAUCGGCGACGGGCCCUUGGAGGGGAGGGGACCUCUAGCCAGGGAGGGGAGGGGAGGGGAGGUGGCGCCGGCGGCGAAGUGGAUGCGGUCGCCAGCAGGAGGAGGUGGCCGUGGAGGAGGUCGUCGCCGCGGUCGAAUGGAUCUAGGAUGUAGGGAGAGGGGAGAAGGNNNNNNNNNNNNNNNNNNNNNNNNNNNNNNNNNNNNNNNNNNNNNNNNNNNNNNNNNNNNNNNNNNNNNNNNNNNNNNNNNNNNNNNNNNNNNNNNNNNNNNNNNNNNNNNNNNNNNNNNNNNNNNNNNNNNNNNNNNNNNNNNNNNNNNNNNNNNNNNNNNNNNNNNNNNNNNNNNNNNNNNNNNNNNNNNNNNNNNNNNNNNNNNNNNNNNNNNNNNNNNNNNNNNNNNNNNNNNNNNNNNNNNNNNNNNNNNNNNNNNNUGGGGGCGGCGGUAGAUCGAGAUCGGGGAGGGGGCGGUGGCAGAUCGAGAUCGGGGAGGGGGCAGCGGCGAGGAGAUGGGGACGAGGGAGGAAGGGGGCGACGGGGGGAUCUGAGCUAGGGUUUGGCCUGCGGGUGGGGGUAUCUCCUUUUCUUUUUUUUGUAGAUAGAUGGAUGGAUGGAUGUGGGAUGGAGAUAUGGAUAGAUGGAUGGAUGGACGCCAUGUCAUCGAUCCCUGGACAGAGUUACGAUUGGUUCAGAAAAUCAGUGAUGUAAAAUAGUUUUCAAAUACUAAAAAUAGAGGGAUUUUAUGAAGUAGCUAUUAAAAAUAUUUUGCAAAAGGGCACCACACAAACUUUCACUAGAGUUAGACCACAUUUUAUGGAUUAGGACUAGUUUGUAUGCAUUUUUCAUAUUUCUAGCUAUUUUUAAUCAUUUUUUGAGUGGCAAAAAUGUUUUUUUUGUGAAGAACCAACCAAAUAAUUGUUGCAAAAUUGGACCUAAUCAAUUUUAUAAAAUACUAUGCCAUAUUUAAUGCACAAUUGACCAAAUGGUUUGGUGUAAAAAGUUUUGAUCCACCUCUCAUCAAAAAAACAAAUUUCCGCCGAUUCAGUUGGAAGCGUGUCAAAUUUGAACUGCAGCUGCCUCAUAGUUUGCUAUUUAUUUUUUCCAAAAAUCAUUUCUAGUUACAUAAGUAUCAAUUUAAUCAGAGAAACACCAAAAAAAUUCCAAGAUUCAACCACUAGCUAGGAACGGUCAUUCCCGCCAUUUUGACCGCAUUUUGAAAUGGGCAUAAAAAAUUAAAAAAUCAAAAAAUUGGAAAACCUUCGCAUUGUGUCAUUAUAUGUCGACAAGUUCCUAGGAAAAAUAACAAACUUCUAAUACGGCAAUUAUUUUAAAAAAGUGUUCUCAGAAAUGAGCUAUCAUCUCUCAAGAUUCAUGGCUUUCAAGCCAAAUGAUCAAUCUUAUGGCCACAUUCGUGGCAUAGUUUGUUCAAAUGAUCUCAUAUUGUGCACAAGGGUGCAUAUUGGAAUGGCAAACAAUGUUGCCUAAGGAAGUUUUCAUUUUCUUUGGACAAAAAAACCAUUUUUCAUUUUCCGAGUGCCCAAAAGGAGGUUAUUUUGUGAAGGACCUCCCAAAUAAUUGUUGCAAAAUUGGACCAAAUCAAUUUUCUAAAAUACUAGGACAUAUUUAAUGCACAAUUGGCAAAAUGGUUGGGUGCAAAAAGUUUUGAUCCACCUCUCGUGAAAAAGACAAAUUUCUGACGAUUUAGGUGGAAGCGGGUCAAAUUUGAACUGCAGUUGCCUCAUAGUUUGCUAUUUAUUUUUUCCAAAAAUCAUUUCUAGUUACAUAAGUAUCUAUUUAAUCAGAGAAACACCAAAAAAAUUCCAAGAUUCAACCACUAGCUAGGAACGGUCAUUCCCGCCGUUUUGACCGCAUUUUGAAACGGGCAUAAAAAAUUCAAAAAAAACAAAAAAUUAGGAAACCUUCGCAUUGUGUCAUUAUAUGUGGAAAAGUUCUCAGGAAAAAUAACAAACUUGUAAUACGGCAAUUAUUUUAAAAAAGUGUUCUCAGAAAUGAGCUAUCAUCUCUCAAGAUUCAUGGCUUUUUAGCCAAAUGAUCAAUUUUAUGGCCACAUUCAUGGCAUAGUUUGUUCAAAUGAUCUCAUAUUGUGCACAAGGGUGCAUAUUGGAAUGGCAAACAAUGUUGCCUAAGAAAGUUUUCAUUUUCUUUGCACAAAAAAACCAUUUUUCACUUUCCGAGUGCCCAAAAGGAGGUUUUUUUGUGAAGGACCUCCCAAAUAAUUGUUGUAAAAUUGGACCAAAUCAAUUUUCUAAAAUACUAGGACAUAUUUAAUGCACAAUUGACAAAAUGGUUGGGUGCAAAAAGUUUUGAUCCACCUCUCGUGAAAAAGACAAAUUUCCGCCGAUUCAGUUGGAAGUGUGUCAAAUUUGAACUGCAGCUGCCUCAUAGUUUGCUAUUUAUUUUUUCCAAAAAUCAUUUCUAGUUACAUAAGUAUCUAUUUAAUCAGAGAAACACCAAAAAAUUCCAAGAUUCAACCACUAGCUAGGAACGGUCAUUCCCGCCAUUUUGACCGCAUUUUGAAACGAGCAUAAAAAAUUCAAAAAAAUCAAAAAAUUGGGAAACAUUCGCAUUGUGUCAUUAUAUGUGGACAAGUUCCUAGGAAAAAUAACAAACUUGUAAUACGGCAAUUAUUUUAAAAAAGUGUUCUCACAAUUGAGCUAUCAUCUUUCAAAAUUCAUGGCUUUCAAGCCAAAUGAUCAAUCUUAUGGCCACAUUCGUGGCAUAGUUUGUUCAAAUGAUCUCAUAUUGUGCACAAGGGUGCAUAUUGGAAUGGCAAACAAUGUUGCCUAAGGAAGUUUUCAUUUUCUUUGGACAAAAAACCAUUUUUCAUUUUCUGAGUGCCCAAAAGGAGGUUUUUUUGUGAAGGACCUCCCAAAUAAUUGUUGUAAAAUUGGACCAAAUCAAUUUUCUAAAAUACUAGGACAUAUUUAAUGCACAAUUGACAAAAUGGUUGGGUGAAAAAAGUUUUGAUCCACCUCUUGUGAAAAAGACAAAUUUCCGCCGAUUCAGUUGGAAGCGGGUCAAAUUUGAACUGCAGCUACCUCAUAGUUUGCUAUUUAUUUUUUCCAAAAAUCAUUUCUAGUUACAUAAGUAUCUAUUUAAUCAGAGAAACACCAAAAAAUUCCAAGAUUCAACCACUAGCUAGGAACGGUCAUUCCCGCUGUUUUGACCGCAUUUUGAAACGGGCAUAAAAAAUUCAAAAAAAAUCAAAAAAUUAGGAAACCUUCGCAUUGUGUCAUUAUAUGUGGACAAGUUCCCAGGAAAAAUAACAAACUUGUAAUACGGCAAUUAUUUUAAAAAAGUGUUCUCAGAAAUGAGCUAUCAUCUCUGAAGAUUCAUGGCUUUCAAGCCACAUGAUCAAUCUUAUGGCCAUAUUUGUGGCAUAGUUUGUUCAAAUGAUCUCAUAUUGUGCACAAGGGUGCAUAUUGGAAUGGAAAACAAUUUUGCCUAAGGAAGUUUUCAUUUUCUUUGGACGAAAAAACCAUUUUUCAUUUUUCGAGUGCCCAAAAGGAGGUUUUUUGUGAAGGACCUCCCAAAUAAUUGUUGCAAAAUUGGACCAAAUCAAUUUUCUAAAAUACUAGGACAUAUUUAAUGCACAAUUGACAAAAUGGUUGUGUGCAAAAAGUUUUGAUCCACCUCUCGUGAAAAAGACAAAUUUCGCCGAUUCAGUUGGAAGCGGGUCAAAUUUGAACUGCAGCUGCCUCAUAGUUUGCUAUUUAUUUUUUCCAAAAAUCAUUUCUAGUUACAUAAGUACCUAUCUAAUCAUAAAUACAUGGUUUGGUGGCGAUACGUCGAGGUUUGGGCGGUGGCCGAGAGCCCCAACUCUAGAGCGCGUAAACUCGCAUGCCCGCCGCGUGGUCACCACGUGACCGUGGUGUUGCCAUGUGUUCUGGGUGGCCUAGGUAUGUCUAGUGGGUUGGGCACUCCCCAUGUAAGUGCUAGGAAGAAAAUCACAACAUAAGAUUCUCACGAGGAGACCGAUCGAUGCUCAAACAUGAAUAAGCAGCCAAGUGUUUGAUUUGCGGUACGGGAAAUGCACAUGGCUAAUGGGCGUGAGUUUUGGAUGAGGAUGAUCAGUUACUAAGAAGACCGUCUUCACAAAUUUUCACCUAAAAAGGAGGAGCCUAGGUGGUACUUGCUUUACAAAGUACCACACUGGACAUAAAUACGAAUGUUGAAGCUCGGCUCAAAAUAAUGAAUGGAUUGAGCUGGCAUUUGGUGGAGGAUGGUUAUUUGGGCAUAGGAAAGCACUGUAGAAAAUGGAUACUAUUUGGACAUGCCAAAGUGGUACUUCCUUCACAAAGUGCUGCUCUGAACAGAAUAGGAAAAUGAAUAUUUUCGAAUUAUUUUUGAACUAGGCAAGGAAUGUUUUUGACAUAUUUGAUGAAGAUAUGAUCCAAAACAUUUAUGAGAUUUUUUUGGGAAUUUUAGGAAUAAUAAAAAUAUAGGUUGCUUCACAACCUAGGGCAAAAACUGCCACAUGCACAUGACACAUAGGCAAAAUUGAUGAGAUGGCGCCUAGUCAUCACAACCCACCACAAUCUACAAGGCUAUGACCAUCUAUAUUGGUCAUUUACAACUAGAAAUAAGGCAGCGGACUAGCACUGUUUGCUUUGUGACCAUUUCGUAUAAGGAAAUUACGACUUUCUGACCAAAAUGGUCGCAAUGGUUUAGGGUUUGGAGCCCCCCGAACAGCUUUUGACCAAUUGGUCUGAAAUGGUCAUAGAUAUAUGACCAAUUCUUCCAGGUUCACUGAUAGAAGGGCACUAGUUGACAUAUUUCUUGUAGUGGGCCAUCAUCUGGAAUGAAGGGCUCUCCAGAAGAAGUAUUUACGAGAUCCUAGAGUUAGAUUUAACAAAAUCAUUUAACCCGAAUAGAAGAGAGAUCAGAGUCCCAGAGUAUAGACGAGGAGUAAAAGAUCCUAAUACCACCCAAUGGCGAUGUGGGCCUGCAAGCCGCACAACCAUGUUAGUAAAUCAGUUUUUCAAAGACUAAACACAAUUUCGGCCAAGGAGUUGGAAAGGGGGAUCCUACAGGCAGUCGGCUCUGAUACCAACUUGUAACGCCCCCGAUUCAAUCGUACACUAAUCAUACACGCAAAUGUGUACGAUCGAGAUCAGGGACUCAUGGGAAGAUAUCACAACACAACUCUAGACAGAAACAAAAUAAUACAAGCUUUAUAUUACAAGCCAGGGGCCUCGAGGGCUCGAAUACAUAGCUCGAAACACAAGAGUCAGCGGAAGCAACAAUAUCUGAGUACAGACAUAAGUUAAACAAGGGUGCCUUAAGAAGGCUAGCACAAAAGCAACACGAUCGAAGAGGCAAUGCCUCCUGCCUGGGACCUCCUAACUACACCUGGUCGUCGACGGCCUCCACGUAGUAGCAUCCGUCGGCGGUGGCAUCUGGGUCCAAGGAUCCACCAUCUGGUUGCAUCAACCGGAAAGAAUAAAGAAGGGGGAAAAGGGGUAGCAAAGCAACCGUGAGUACUCAUCCAAAGUACUCGCAAGCAUCAGAUCUAUACUAAGUAUGCAUUUGUAUCAAAUGGAAGGGUUGUAUCUGUGGACUGCACUGCAGAAUGCCGGAAUAGAGGGGGAAAGCCUAGCCUAUCGAAGACUAGCAUAUUCGCGCAGCUCCGAGCAUCUUGCAGCAUGUAGAAGAGUAAAGAAUAGCAGUUUAAUAUUUAACAAACAUGUUGUAACAUUAAUGCCCAGAGAUCCUUCCUUGACACCCUGCGAGAAAGCAAUCCCGGAGCCACAUAUCUCAAGUAUCCAUUUGCAGUUGUAUAAGAUCAGGAUAUAAGUCUGAACGUCCAUUACCGUGGACACGGUAUUCGAAUAUAUAACUUCCCUGCAGGGGUGCACCACGUUACCCAACACGCUCGAUCACUCUGGCCGGACACACCUUUCUGGGGUCAAUGCCCGCCCUCGGAAGAUCAACACGUCGCAGCCCUACCUAGGCUCAGCAGAGAGGUCCCCGCCUGUCUACAUCCUAAGCACUCCGGGGUCUUGGGCCCAUCGCCCGCAGCACUCCGGGUCAUUGUGUGCAGGGUGGAUACCAGCACGCCUCGGAUGGCCAACACGAUCCGACCAUGCCACAAUGCUGAACUGGACGUCUGACAAAGCUUCGGCUGAUACUGCGACGUCGAGGCCCAUAUCUAUUCUCGUGUGGUGGUUAGUGCGUAAAAGCAAGAGGUCAACUCAGAACAAAUACCCAAACCAUAGUGUAUUAUUAGUUUGCGGAGACGAGCAGAGACUCACGAUCGAAAGUGACCCCGUCGCCCCGUCUCGCGGACUUACGACAAGGGCCUAGAAUGCCCGGCCGUGCCACGUAACCAUCUUGCGGGUGCUCUCUGGGCCCGCCCGACUUUCACCAAGGUCCCAAGUAAAGUCAAUUGUAACCGUGUGUCCAGACAUCAAGGGGAAAACCCGAGGAAUCACCCUCGGUGGAUUCCACUCAAUGUAAUCAUCAAGGUGAACGUAAGAGAGACCACCCUCGAGGUUCACACUUGAGGUGUUGAACGACAGAGCCGUAUCGGGAAUGGUGAAAGAGGAAAUCACCCUCGAUGGCCACGACCGAAUAGCUACACUACAAAAUUAUUAUCAGGAGUGCGUUAUGAGGGAUCACCCUCGGCACUCGAUAGUAGCUCUGGAGAGUCGAGCAACUAAAGGGGCGUGAUUUGAUGUGAGGUGUAGGGCUCUGGUCGUCGAUCACGUCGAUCGAGGUGUCGAUGAUGAAGCAGGGGCAACAAGGACAAGUGGUGGUCACUGAUGGAUCACUAGCCAACCUAUACUAAGCAGUUUAGGAUAAGCAGAUAGGUAACAAUAAGCAGGUACAAAAGCAGGCUAUGCAUCAGAAUAGGAGCAAACAAUAACAGUAGCAAAAUCUAAUGCAAGCACGAGAGUAUAGAAUGGGCGAUAUCGGGAUGAUCAAAGGGGGGGCUUGCCUGGUUGCUCAGACAAGAAGGAGGGUCGUCGGUGAGGUAGUCGAUCACAGUGGCAUCAGCAGCGGCCUCGAGGUCUAGCGGAGAGAAGAGGGGGAAGAAAAUAGUAAAUACAUAGCAAGCAAGAGCAUAACAGUACAACAGGCAGAGCUAGACGUGUUCUAACGUGACGCUAGGUGAUACUGGCGAAGGGGGAAACAUCCGGGAAAGUAUUCCUGGUUCCGGACGUCUGUCAGACAGAUGAACCAGAGGGGAAAGGUUGCAUGUUUACUAUGCUAGGGAUGUGUGGCGGGCGAACAUACCGCAUAUUCGGAUUCGUCUCGUCGUUCUGAGCAACUUUCAUGUACAAAGUAUUUUAAUCCGAGCUACGGUUUAUUUUAGAUGAUUUUCUAAAGUCUAAACAAUAUUCUAAAAUUAUUUCUAAUUAUUAAAUUCGACAGAAAAGGAAUAAUGACGCCAGCAUGAGGUCAGAGUGAUGUCAGCAGUCAACAGGGCAUUGACUGGUCAAAACUGACUUGUGGAUCCCACUGUCAUUGACACAGUUUAGCUAAACAAUAUAAGACUAAUUAAUCUAAUUAAUCAGGUUAUUAAGCAUGUUAAUUAAGUUAAUUAAUCAUAUUACUAAUUAAUCAUAUUACUAGUUAAUCAUAUAAGACUAACUAGGGCUAUUCCACAUGUCAUAGGGUACAACUAAAACUAAGUCUAAUAUAAAUUAGUCUAACAAAGGGGCUUGUUUAACUAGGGAUUAGCCCUAAGCUAGCAAAGGGCCGGCCACACACGGCUGUGGCAAAAGGCAGCCACACACAGAACACACAUACGCUGCACACACACCACACAGCACACUUGGCCAUGGCCGUGGCCAUUGCCAGUAGCAGCAGCAGCCGGUGGUAGUGGGCAGCAGUAGUACCAGCAACAGAGCAGCAUAGCAGCGGGCUAAGCACGAAGCAGCAGUAACAGCAACUAGCAGAUACAGCAGUAAUAAACAGCAGCAGAGAGCAGCGGCACAAGCAGUUCAGCGCAGCAGGCAGCGGCGAAAAGUAGCAGUUGCAGGCGCAACGCACGACGACGGGAGUGGCGGGGUGCGACCAGGGGACGGCCGGUGCGCGGCCUGUCGCGGCCAGGGUGCGCGUACCGGGCGCCGUGGCGCGAGGCUGCUCGGACCGCGGCCAACGGCCGGAGCUUGGGCGACACGGGCGUGGCCGAGCGCGAGGCUGCGGCGCAGCCGAUGCCGAGGAGCAGCAGCAGGGCAAGCACGCAGAGCAGGGGGCGCGACCCCGGGCAGAUGCGCACGCGCGAGGGCGCGGACUAGGACGGCCAGGGACGCGGGGGAAGGCACGGCCACGACGAGCUCGUAGCCAUGGCGGACGACGGUUUCGGCCACGGACAGGAGGGGCGCUGAGGGCGACAGUGGCGGGCGUGCCUCGGCUCUAAUGGCGAUGGGGGCUUCGGGCACGGGAUACACGGAGGAAAACGGAGGGGAAUCGACCGCAAGCUCACCAGAGGAGCACAUGGAGGCUCGGUGUUUGCUUAGGAGCAGUAGAGCGACGGCAAUCGUCGGAGAAGCUCGUCAGAGCCGAAGGUGAAGAAGAGAUCGCAGUGCUCGCUGCAGGGGGUCCCUCCAUGAUCCAGUGGGCGAGGAGGAUGGAGCAGUCGACGGCGGUGCCCUCGGACUCGGUCUUAUGGCGCGGGGACGAUGGUGGCCGCGGGAUCGACGAAGGCGACGACGAUGGAGGCGUCGGGUAGAUGUGGGGGGAGUGCAGGAGUGGGGAAAAUAUCUGGUGGGGGGAGCUGACGAAGCUGAGGGGACUCUACCUUAUCCCCUCGGCGCGGCAGCGAUGCGGGGGCGGCGAGCGGGUUCGGCGAGGACAGCGGGCGUACCUCGGUCGGCUUCCCCUGUAGCGAGGUGGAAGGCGACCGAGGGGGAGUUGGGUCGGGCUGGCUCGGUGAGAUGGGCCAAGGCCCGGGGGUCAGGGGAGGCCUUUCUUUCUCUUUUGCUUUGUUUUAUUUUCUUUAAUUUAUUUACAGUAUUUUUUAAUAGCAAUUUGUUUCAUAAAAUAUAAGGACAAUACCUAAAUUGGUGUUACUAAUUAUACCAAUGUCACAAUGAGUUUGAGGUCCGAAUAACAUAGUUUAGUAUUUUUAUAAUUUAAAAAGCAUUUAAUAAUUCUUUUUAGCCAAUGUUAUAUUCACAAAAGGGCAUUUAAAUAUUUUACAAAAGUGUUGGGUCACCAUCAUAAUUAGUUAUGGAGUAUUUGCCACAUUUGAACAUUUUAUUUUAGACAUUUGAAAACUUUUGAGUUUGACUCGAUUUUGAAUUUGAAAUUUGAACCGGUUUCGAACCAACGCGAGUUUAUCAACAGUAACCGUGGUGACGUGGCCUCAUUAGAAGAGGGUUACUGCAGCUUAAUUAUC